rnacentral:lncRNA from 1 species
AGCCAGCUGAGCACCAGUCGGGCUGGGGCAUCUGCUCUGGAGGAUGAGACUUUAGAGAUAAACCCAGAGCCCUGAGGAGGAUGGAGUAGAAACCAUGGAAGUGUGGAACCAAGCCUGGCUCUCAAGGACUGGACCAGUCAGAUGGGCUGAUGACACUCCUCGCCACUUGCAGAGCAAUUGUUUUCGUGGCAACCCCAACACAAGAGUGGACAGGAGGCCUGGACAGGAGGCCUGGCAGGUCUCCGGAGCUCUGCCAGUCCCAGCUGAAAAUUCUAGGCUCCAGACAUGAGGGUUGCCUUUGGGAAGCCCGUGAGGCAAUGGCAAGAGUUCAUAUUGAACAUGUCAUCACGUCUAUCUGCAUCACACUGUGUGGAACAAGGAACUUGUAUCAAGGCCCUGUGAAGAGGCCAAGUUCAAGUUCCUUGGUUGCCAGAAGACCCACAUCUCAAAGAAGGAGAGCUUCAUGAAGUGUAAUGCAAAUGAAUUUGAAGACACAGUGGUUGAGAAGUGCCUCAUCCCCAAUGGCUCUGGGUGAAAUAUAUCCCAAAUCAUAGUCUCCUGGACAAGUGGUGGCCUUAUACUCUUUUCUGAGGAAGGGUCUCACUAUUUAGCCCAGGCUGAUCUCAAACUCAUGGCGAUCCUCCUCACUCAGCCUCCCAAGUGCUGGGAUUGCAGGCACGUG